AUGAUGGAUCGAUAGUUGCAGUCCAGCUUCGUACUACAAAUGAGUGCCAUAAAACCUACUAUACUUGUCACACAGGUUUUAAGAUGUUGCAAGAAUUGUCAUCAAAUGACAUGCUUUUACUUCAACUUAGAACUGGAAGGACACUUUCUAGGAACAAUACAAUUUGCUUUCAUCACAUAAAAAUUUAUAUUGACAGAUUUGAGGAUUUACAGAAGUCGUGUUGUGACCCAUUUAACAUACACAAAAAACUAGCCCCCCAGAAUUUGCAUGUAAUUGACUUAGAUGAUGCCACUUUUCUGAGUGCAAAAUUCGGAAGACCGCUUGUACCUGGUUGGAAGCUUUGUCCAAAAUGCACGCAGAUAAUCACGGAAGUGUGGAUGUUGAUUCUGAAGACCGCCAGAGAAGCAAACCUGAGUCAGAUGGAAGAACUGCUAAAGUUUUGAGGUCAUUACAAUUUACAAAUCCAGGAAGGCAAACUGAAUUUGCUCCAGAAACUGGUAAAAGAGAAAAAAGAAGGCUUAAAAAAAUGCAACCGCUGGUUCAGACAGACGAGUGAUACCAGCGAAGACUAAGGUCUAUGAUAGCCAGGGUCUCCUGAUUUUUAUUGGGAUGGACCUCGAUGCCUCGAUGAAGAUUGUUUAGGAUGUUUCUAUGCUUGUCGUGCCUGUGGUUCUACCAAGUGUGGAGCUGAAUGCCACUGUGACCGCAAGUCACAAAGUAUGAGCAAACUGAAAUUGAAGGAGGAGAAAUAAUUCAUUAUAAACAUGCUGGAUAA
rnacentral:lncRNA from 1 species